AACAUUUUCAAUAGAUUCAAACAUUUUUUAUAAGUUUAUAGUCUGGUGUGAAUAAAUACAAACUUUUCUACAAUAUAAUAACCAAUCAAGCAACUACUUCAUUAAAUUUGGGUGUACAUAUAUCUCUUUAAAAACUUUUUGAG